GACGAACGCUGGCGGCGUGCUUAACACAUGCAAGUCGAACGGAAAGGCCUUUUCGGAGGUACUCGAGUGGCGAACGGGUGCGUAACACGUGGGUGAUCUGCCCUGCACUCUGGGAUAAGCCUGGGAAACUGGGUCUAAUACCGGAUAGGACCGCACUUUAGUGUGUGUGGUGGAAAGUUUUUUCGGUGUAGGAUGAGCCCGCUGCCUAUCAGCUUGUUGGUGGGGUAAUGGCCUACCAAGGCGGCGACGGGUAGCCGGACUGAGAGGUUGGUCGGCCACAUUGGGACUGAGAUACGGCCCAGACUCCUACGGGAGGCAGCAGUGGGGAAUAUUGCACAAUGGGCGCAAGCCUGAUGCAGCGACGCCGCGUGGGGGAUGACGGCCUUCGGGUUGUAAACGCCUUUCGCCAGGGACGAAGCGUUUUGUGACGGUACCUGGAGAAGAAGCACCGGCUAACUACGUG
rnacentral:rRNA from 1 species